rnacentral:lncRNA from 1 species
AAUAAGUAGCAACUGUAAAAUAGCAAAAGAACAAUACAAGCAUUGAUCAAAGUCAUUGACCAAAUUAACUUCCUCGCUCAAAUGUAGUUGCAAGAGCUUCUUCUAAGAACCACAGCAAGACGAUGUUUGUGAUGCUUGAGCAGAGCCAGCUCCCUGGUCUGGUUGGUUAAUCUUGAGUGUCUGGGGCUGCAAUGAACCAAAUAAAAAUUUAGCGCAAAGAUGAUGAGGUAAUUAAAUCUGGUAUAGAUUUUCUUAUUCAACCAAAAAUGCAACAUAAUAGUUGUCUAAAAAGGAAAACUAGCAAUAUCAAGGAAGAGUCGUGCAUUAACUUCAAAUAAAUCAAAAAAUGAAGCAAUUAUAAACUGUUGCAACUUCCAAGAUAAUGAAUCCAUCGUAACAAAAGAAAGGUCGAAAUAAAAACCUCAGUCUUUGAGUCACUUUCUGCGAGUCUUUGUUUGAUGUCCCGAGCUAUUGAAAAGAAAACCUCAUCUACAUUCAUAUUAGUUUUUGCACUCUGCAUAAACAUAAUCUCGGCAUUAGAAACAGCACAGUGGUUUCGGAAUGCUUUUCCAGCAAGAGCAAUAAGUGCUGCUUACAGUUUCGAAAAAUUUGAUGCCGUAUUCAUCUGCCAGAGCUUGACCCUUUGAAGUUGGAACAGCCUAAGGAGAAUAAUUUCCAGUAUCAAGUGUAGCAUAGUAAUCACAGGAGAUACUUGUACAUGGAAAAUGAAAAGGAUGGACAAAGAGUGAGUGUGUGAGGCAAACCCUUUUGCUUUCAUCCAUGUCGGCCUUGUUCCCUACUAAUAUUUUGUUGACAUUGUCAGAAGCAUGCUGCUCGAUGUUGCGAAUCCAGUUCUUGAUGUCUGGAUAUGAGAUGAAACAAAUAUAGAAGUCAGUUCCAUCUUAAUACAAAUUUAGGCACUGGGAUCUCCCCAAAGUACAAAGUUGAAAAGUAGAGUUUGCCGACAUAAACACUUGUUCCAAUGAUGAGUGUGGAUUUAAAGAAACAAGCAUAUUAAAAGAUUAAGAAUGUGGAGGAAAAAAUAAAGGAGGAAUGGCGCAAAACUAAAACCAGAAGGAGGAAGGAGAACUUACUGUUAAAAGAUGACUCAUCGGUGACAUCAUACACAAGCAAGAUACCCAUUGCUCCACGGUAAUAAGCUGCCCAAUAAAAAGAUUGAACACAUCAUCAGAGUAGAAAUAGUGUGCUUGAAAUAGUGACGGUUGUCAAUCGAUAUCAAAUAUGUACUGAUAUCGACAAACACAGCAACAUCUUACAAUACAUAAUCACAUUAGUAUAUAGAGUAGAACCUAUAAAGCUACGAUACUCUAAAAUUGCUAAAGUAUAGGUGUCAUAGCCUUAUUCCCGUAUGCAUAUAAUACUCCUAGAUCAGUAUCCAAAAAGUACUCUCCACCUUUUUACAAUUUUAAACGAUAAUAUUUGACAGAUAAAUUAGGGAUGCCUCUUCAACACUUUGGGAUACAGCUCCAAUAACUUGAGCCUUGUUCUCCCUCAAAUUGUGAGCAUAAUUGGAGUACAUACUUCUUUAUUCAUGUUUUGAUGAUAUGGAAAGAGAGAGAGGGAUACUUGUGGGAUACUAGUAGUGAUGUCCGUGAUUCAAUUGAUGAUGAAGGUUACCAACUUCUUCAAUUGGCAAAUUAAAUUUAGAAGCUAUGCUGUUUUGGAUGAUGAUAAUGGGAAGAUGAAGAUCCCUUGGACACAUGUCAGACACCUUUUAAUAUUGUCCAAUUAAAUAAAUAAAACUGGUUCAGACACCUAUUAGACAAGCCUUGAACACGCGAGCAAAGACUGUGCCGACGCAUGCUCUUGGCCAGACACUUGUCUCAGACAACUUCUAAUUCUAGAUUAGAUCUUUUCCUUUUUAUGAGAACUAAAACAAUGAUGUCUUAUCAUUUUUUGUGAGGAUCAUUAUCAUAGCAUUAACUUGUUAUAAUAGUCAUGAUUUAUAUUCUUAUAUUAUGUCAUAUAGAUAAGGACUGCAUUAUAAAUGAUUCCUCUUAGUCUUAUUUAUUAGGAAUAUACUUUAUGCUGUUAUAAUUGUAUCAGAGGAUCAGUACUCGGUAUUUUAUGUAGAACAGCAUAUUUCACCAUGUUUGUUCCUCAACGAACGCCUUUAACUUGUUGCUUUCAUUGAAGAUAGUUUUUAUCAUCAAGUUUAACAUAGAUCUUUUGCUUGAAUGUUGUUGGUGCUGCUGCCGCAGUAACUCGAACAGUGACAUGAGAAGAGGUAGGAGGAGUGGCCAAUAGCCAUGGCUAAAGAUUGAAAAGAAGCUCUAAGAUACCGUGUUAGAAGUUGAGGAUUCAGAGAAAUGAGAGAAAGAUAGGGAAAGUUCUAGAUAGUUUUGAAAUGAGAUACGAUCAAAUAUUUAGAGUAGCUAGAUCCUAACUAACUCUAACACAAGUGUCAGUUAUCCUAGGUUAGGACAGCUGUCCUAACAAAAUUCUGGAGGAAGAGAAGAGGAUUGAUCCUCUGAUGCAAUUAUAACAGCACAAGGUAUAUUCCUAAUACAGUAUUAGUAUUCUUCAUUGUGAGUCAUAUCAUUAACAUGAAUUUAUUUUUAGAAGGUUAAUAUAUGACUCUAAAUUCUUAAUUUAGACUUUUGCUGAGUCAAUUAUAUACACACGCAUACACAUAAAUAAAAAUAUACACAAGUAUGAGGUGUCCCGGUGUCCUAUAUUUUGGACACUACUCGUGUCUCAAUGUGUGUGAUGUCCGUAUGUCAGAGUCUAUGCUUCAUAGGUCUAGACUUAGUUUGUAUAGGAGCAGUGGUACUUUGUGACAUUUUGACAGUGGUUAGGGAAAAAGAAUACAUUUAUGACACAUCACAAGGAAAAUAAUAAAUAUUUGAUAUGGGUAAGAGGAAAAAUAUGCCUCUAUGUUUUUUUGUAAUGAUUAGAAGUGUUUUUUGUAAGGAGUAGAGUGAUAAGGAGAUGGAGAAUUUGAUCCCCACUCCCAACAAAAAACUACUAAUACUAACAUUGGUUGUUUCAAAAAAACAAGUAUUUUUGAGAGUUGUGAACUUGUGAUCAUCAUAUGCAAAUAAACAUAGUUAUAUAUUGAUAAAAAAUAAAAUAAUAAAACAUCAAUGUUUCUUUACAAAUAUUAUUUUAUUUCUGUAAAAUAAUAAUAAAGUAAGUAAAUUUUUCAUAAAUUUGUGUAAAUGAAUUUAGGCCAUCUAAUAUCUUCAGUUUUCAUGAAUUUCCAUAUGUGUCAUAUUGUUGUGCUCAUGUUGUAUCAAGUAUCCGAGCUUCAUAUAGUAGAAUUAAACCUCAAUCACGUGUAAGGUGAUAAUUAGUGGGUACAACACCGCAUAUCCAACCACUUCACAGGUCUGAUAAUAUUCAGAAUUUUUAGAUAAAGUCUAUACCAAUCUAAUGAAGAGAUCCAGCCCAUAGAAUCUAGUAAAAAAAGCAUAUCGUCUCAAACAGUCAGCAAUCUUAGAAGAUCUAUUAAUAGGCCGACAAUCAUAUCAGGUACCUUAUACAUUGAUCUGGCAAAUGGAAGUUUAAAUCUUAUUCAAAACAGGAUGGUUUUCAAUAAAAAAACGGUUUAGCAAGUUAGAAAAGAAAGGGAAAUCUAUUUGCCUCAAUCAAAAAAUAAUAUCAAAAUAUACUAUUUAAUAAUUAUAGUGGUUCCUAUCCAAUGUGCAAGAGUAGAAGGAGCAAUAAAUAAGUAGCAACUGAUUAAUAUCAUAACAAGCACAUGUUGCACAAGAAGUGUACAUAAGUUGAAUAUAAAGAACCAAAAUUAAGCUCUCACUUAUUAUUCUAGUUAUAUUGGGAGGGAAAGAGAACAAAACAGAUAAAGCCAAUAACUGAAACUAACCAGUUGUAAUGGUUCGAAAACGCUCUUGACCAGCCGUGUCCCAUAUUUGCAAUUUGAUUCGCUUACCAUCAAGCUCUAUGGUCCUUAUUUUGAAAUCAAUGCUAAAGAAAAAUAACACAUUCUAGUAAGUACAGGACCAUCUCCUCAAGAAAGACAAAAGAAUAACAACGAAAAACAGAAAAUAAGCAAGUUCACAAAAAGAGGACCUACCCGAUGGUUGUGAUAAAACUAGUUGUGAAUGAACCAUCUGAGAAACGCAAUAGAAGGCAACUUUUACCCACACCUGCCAAUGUGAAAAAAGAAUGUAAUGUAAUACAAACAAAACCCAAUAAGAUAAGAUACAUUCCAUACACUAAUAAUAAUAAAGAGGAGAAAGAGAGGAGAUAAUAAGGCAUGUUUGGAUUGGCUUAUUUGCUGACAUACGCACUUAUGAUGAUUUUUGUGAGAGCUUGUGGAAACAGCUUUUAGCAUGCCCGUAAUUUGUUUUCAACUUAUUUCCAUAAGCUCCUCAGGAUAGCUAUAUGAAAACCUAGUACGGCUUAAAUGAAAACCGUUUUUUUUAAGCAACAAAUUUUAUUACGCACACCGUACCAUCACAAGCCAUGACGGCCAGGCGAAAAGAGCAAAUACAACUUAAACAAAGCCACAAUCCAGUACCCUAAACCGAUACUGGAACAACAAACAAAACAGAGAACCCGCAGGAGCACCUCCUGAACAACGCAACAAAUGGGGACAACAAACACACCCCUAACCCCUACAAAAAAGAGGAAAACACAUCAAAACAACUACCCAAGUAUUCGGUUACGCCAAACACACACCAAUCGACAGCCACGUGCACCGCCCAGUAACCCCAAAACAGUGCUGAAAAAGAACCCUGCACAGCAAUCCCAACUUCCUACCUACCAAAGCAAUCUCCCAUACACCAAUUCCAUUCAUAGAACAUACAUGGUGAUGCUUUCAAUCUACUCAAGCUCCGCUUCCAUAAGAGCACUUUGAUUUCCUCCACCAUUGCAUCAACCUCAAAAUCUUGAUUCUUGAAAAUCUUCCUAUUUUUCGCACUCCAAAUCACCCAAACAGUAGUGUGCGUGCCAAAUAUGCCAAAACCCUUUUUUCCACUUUUUAUAUUGAACACAUCCUAUCAAACAUUCAAUUUCAACAAAUGGUUUGGGGUGUAAUAAAUUCCACAUCUAUCUCAAAAUCUUAUCCCACACUUGAGCAACAACAUAAAAAUAAAGAAAAAGGUGGAUAGAAGAUUCCUCAUCAUUUCCACAAAAAGCACACUCUCUAGAGGCUUCUGGAGCGAUAGCAUGCCGUUUCCACAAAUUAUUCCGAGUUGGAAUUCUAUCUAGGAGCAUUUUCCAAGAGAAGGCCACUACUUUUGAAGAUGCCAGACUUUUCCAAAAACCCUUUUUUCCAAUUCACCUAGAUCAUUUUCCAACACAAAAAUCCCCUACAACAAGUCAUAAGUUGAUUUUACCAAGAACACACCUCCACCUUCCGGUCUCCAACCCCAACUAUCUCUCUCGGUAUUUAAUACCAAAACAUUCAAUUCAACAGCACCAAUAAUUGCUCAAGUAAACUCUCCUCCCAUAUAAACAACCUCCUCCUCCACAACCACAUCCAGUUCCACUCUUUCCCAUUUCUAACACAAACCUCGCUCAAUUUCACAUCCUUUUUAUCCGUAGUAGCAAACAGCCUCAGGAAAAGAUCACAAAACCCCUAUUACCCAACCACUUAUCCCUCCGAAAUAAGUCAACUCGCCGCUACCAACUUUCUUAAACACUUCCCUUUUGAACCAAUCUCCUCCACCCAAAUACUGAAUCCUCCAAGAAAGUUAAAUCUCUCCACCAUAUAGAAGCACUUCUCGGCCAAGUGCCAAUCAACUUUCCUCUCAAUAUCCUACCCACACAUUUUUGACAACAACUUCUUUCCACAAAGGACAAUCAUGUUGUAGUAUAUGCCAACGCCAUUUUGCCAAAAGACUCAAGUUGACGGCUCUCACAUCCCUCACCUUCAAACCACCUUAUUUUAUAUGAAAGCCAUUUAAUUUUAUUACAUAUUUUGUUAUAGAAAUAACUUAUACAAACAUAAGCAAGUGUAAUUAAGUUGUUUUUCCAAACAGGUCAAAAAGUCUACAUGACAAUCACAGUUGAUUAAUAACUGAUAUUCUUUACACAUGAUCAGUUGAGUUAAGCCUUAAUAAUUAGUUCUAACCGUUUUACUUUAUCAUUGACAAAAAUAAGUUACUACCUCCAUUUGUUAUGGUAAACUUGUAUGAUUACACUACUAAUAAUUGAAUUACCGCUAAAAAUAAUAAAACCUAAUGAGAUAUUAAGCAGAAUUAAAAUCUAAAAUCUAAAGUGCGAAAAGAGAAAGAAUAGAAAAAGUACGAACCGCUAUCACCGAUGAGGAGAAGCUUGAUUAGGUAAUCGUAAUCGGAUCGAGCUCUUGCAGGUGGAGCAGCCAUCGUGAUAAUUCAAAAACCUAAAACCUGAUAUGAUUGAUCCACGAUGGUUGCUGUAGUAGAAGGGGCUAAGAAAAUUAAGUUAAUUUGAUUUUAUUGGAAAGAAAAAGUGGAGAGUGAGGUGUGAUAAGUUAUAACGAAGUAAAGUGGGUGAAAAUGAAAAUGAAAAUGGAAGAGAACAAAGUCGAGAUCUGAAAAGGAAAAGGAAAUGGAGAUCGAUUGGAUGGAGAGUUUGUUGUUGGUCGAGCGUUGAAAUCUGUUUUUUUUUUUUUUUUUAAUUAAAAAAUGAAGAUUAUUUUUCAGUUUUUUAUCAAAAUAUAAUCUCAAUUUUUUUUCUUUUCUUUAGAUGAGGUGGAAAUCCACUAAAAUUAAAUUAAGAGUAAAUUACACUCUCCUCCCCUCUUAUGUUAAAAUAUACACUUCCCCUUCUUAUUCAAAACAUAUUAGAAAAUAUUUCACCCUCCUUCCUCGAGAGAAGCUUGAAUUACAUUCACCUCUCCUUUUAAGUUAAAUUGUACGAUGUAGUCCCUCAAUUUUUUUUUCUUCUAAUAAUCUACCACACUUCAAAGAAAAAUAGCAUGCGGGUUCAUUUUAAUAUAAUCAAAUUUUGAAUACAUAUUUUUCUCUAUUUUUAUUCACAAUUUCAUUAACAUAUAGUUUUAAACUCUAUUAAAAAAUAUGAAACAACCCAAAAUAAAAUUAAAAUAUGUGAAAAAGUACUAAAAUCGAUUAAGUAUGAUUAUUUAAAAGUGAGUUUUAUACUCUAAAUUAUAAAAUUAAUAACACAAAAUUUAAAUUUAAUUGUCAUUGACAUUUAGAUUAUAAAUAAACGAAUUUAUAUUUUUUAAAUGGUGAUUCAAAAUUAAUAUAUAUUAUAAAAAUAUUUAUUUAUGUUAAAAUAGAUUAAAGUGUAGUCAUAUGUUAAACAAACAAAAAAAUUGUAUUCAUAAAAAAUCAGUUUGGCACGUUUAACGAAAAUAGCUUAACGACAAACUAAUACAUCUAGUAAAUGAACAUUCAUCUUCAAUGAUCUGUUACUCUUUAGAUGGACCAUUUAACGACAAACUAAACUCAAAACAGCUCAUGAAUAGCAAACUAAACUCAAACAGCUCGUGAAUAGCAAACUAAAUUAAUAAAGUUUAAAAUAAUUUCAUUAAUUCAAUUCAUCAUACAGAUUUCGAGUGAAUAACAGCGUUUUGAAAAGUAUGAAGAAAUGACGUAUGGCAUAAUUAGCUUAGCCUAUAUUGAACAAAAUUAAAAAUAACUAUAAGAUGUCCAAGUAUUUGAUCAAUUUAAGCCGAGAAACAUCAAAUGUAUAAAGUAUUCUGAAAUACGAAGCUUAGCAAUAUAUUGGAGCACCAAGUAGGCGAAGGAUGUUGUUGGUUUUAGCAAACAUUGUGCAUAGUCAGUCUCCUGAAAAAAGAAAGGGAAAAUAAAACAGAUACUGAUACAGAUGCAGCAAUAAAUAGAUAUCUGAUUAAUUUCCAUACAUAGGAAGGAUCUAGUCUACCAUUAACAUCCAAUAAGUAGCAACUGUAAAAUAGCAAAAGAACAAUACAAGCACUGAUCGAAGUCAUUGACCAAAUUAACUUCCUCCGUCAAAUGUAGUUGCAAGAGCUUCUUCUAAGAACCACAGCAAGAUGAUGUUUGUGAUGCUUGAGCAGAGCCAGCUCCCUGGUCAGGUUGGUUAAUCUUGAGUGUCUGGGGCUGCAAUGAACCAAAUAAAAAUUUAGCGCAAAGAUGAUGAGGCAACCAAACAUGCAACAUAAUAGUAGUCUAAAAAAGAAAACCAGCAAUAUCAAGGAAGAGUCUAGCAUUAACUUCAAAUAUAUCAAAAAAUGAAGCAAUUAUAAACUGUUGCAACUUGCAAGAUAAUGAAUCCAUCAUAACAAAAGAAACGUUGA